AUCCGUCACUCCGAACGCUGGACUGUGCGGAAAACUAAGAAUAUUCUAUAAAUACGCUAUGAAAUACUAAAUGUAGGACCCGCUAAAUACAAUGACAACAAAUAUGGCCGACAUUGUACCUGACAGAUUGGGUCGUUUAAAGAAAAAGCAAUUUGCUUUAUUGAAAGAGAACAAUUAAUAAAAGUGUUAUUAUUGUUCAUAUUAAUGUGACUGGAGUUAAUGAUAAACGUCAAAUAAUGCAUGGCAGUGUUGAUAUUUAUGAAGAAAACGAUUCCUGGAAAUACGAAUGUCAAACGAUUGAAAUUUUGACCACUGUGAAGAAUAACGUUUAGAACCCGUGUCAUUUACAAAAUUUAAUAUUGUUCUUGAGCAGUAAAAGGGGAUAAAGUGAAUUUAUGAUUGUGUGAUGACUGUAGCCAUGUGAACGGGUUAUCGUACGGCAAAACCCAUCACGUAAAGAAGAUUUCCAUACUCUACAAGAAGAUCUAGAUAAACUUAUGAAAUGGGAACAUCUUUGGGACAUGGAGUUCAACCCAAGUAAAUGCCAAGUUUUAAACAUAACCAGAAAUAAAUCAAAAUUCUCUUUUAAUUACAGACUCCAUGGACAAAUACUAGAAACUGUUGACAAUGCAAAAUACUUAGGUGUGGACAUCUCAAAAGGCCUUUCCUGGAACACCCAUAUAAAUAGAAUUACAAAUAACGCUAAUAAAUCUCUUGGUUUUCUACGCAGGAACAUACAGACAAGAAAUUUCAACAUUCGCCAGCUGGCAUACAAGACAAUAGUUAGACCACUUCCGUAUGGAGUCCUCACACUUUACAAAAUAUACAAAAAAUUGAAAAAGUACAGCGUCGAGCAGUCCGCUGGGUCAAGCAUAAUUAUUCUCCAUAUGACAGUGUCACCUCCAUGCAACAGGAACUUGGUUGGCAGACCCUACAAGACAGACGAAAUGACACUAAAUUAAUAAUCUUUUUCAAAAUUGUUCAAGGUUUAGUAGCCGUACCGCUGCCAUCAUAUAUCGAGCGACCCACCAGAUUCACUCGUCACAUGCACCCCUCUCUUUCAGACAGAUCCAUACCACUGCAAAUUAUUAUAAGUUUUCAUUUUACCCAAGUGCUAUUGUGAUGUGGAACUCUGCCACUACAAUAUUAUAUCCUGAUCUUGAAGGGUUUAGGCGGUCCCUGCUUUCCUCUUCUGCCCCUUGAACUCCGAGAGACAUGUUUUUAUCAGUUUAACUUUAAAUCACCUCACCAUGCAUGAUUAAUCGAACAUACUUUUAUCUUCUCACUUAUUCUCUUUUAACACUUUUAUCUUGCACUGACUGCGCACCUGUCAAUAAUACCCGCAAGGGGAGUUAGACAGUAUAGAUAGAUAGAUAGAUAGAUAGAUAGAUAGAUAGAUAGAUAGAUAGAUAGAUAGAUAGAUAGAUAGAUAGAUAGAUAGAUAGAUAGAUAGAUAGAUAGAUAGAUAGAUAGAUAGAUAGAUGAUAGAUUUUGGUUCUGUUAUCAACUCGGAACAGGAAGGUACAUGGAUUACAGUAUGCAAUAUUUUUUCAAGUAUAACAGUUUCAUUAUUCAUAAUUGGAGUAAAGUAGAUUUUGUAGGAAAAGUGCACCCUGUCAGUGAUUUUUACCACAUAAUCAGGCUCAUAUUUGCUUUCAUUUUGAAAAAGAAAAUAUGCCAUGUAAGGAAAAAGUUGUGUUGUAAAUGCAUGGAAAUCAAGGACAGCAUAUUUGAAUUUUAUGACCAAGUAAUGAUGUUUUCCUCAAACAAACAACAAAAAAGUAUAUUAUGUCCCAAAUACUAAAAUUACUAUUCUGAAAUUGAUAUGCCAAUGACUGCUUCUUGUGUUAUCACCUAAAUUAUGUAUUAUGGUUAUUCAAAUUAAAAUGCUGCAUAUUUAUUAUCUGUUCAGCAAUAAUCAACAAAAUUGGUGGUCCAGGAACGGUUAAUUACUUUUUGUCAACACUGUAUGUUCCAAUGAUCAAUUGAACUUAAAGAAAAUGGAAAUACAUGCGGGAAGGACGUACAUUUAUCAAGUUUCAACUAUCUCCUUUAUAGCAGACAUGCUUAUAAGAUGGAAACGAAUGAUACAUUGUAUGCUGAUUACCUGUGCAGGAGGAAAAUGAAACCAGACAGAUUAUGGACUCAAAUUCAACCCGUAAAAAAGCUAGAAAUUUGCAGUCACUGUGUGUUCUUGUUUACAGUCAUGUGUUCAAUGCUGCAACAGCAUAAAUAUUAUAGCUGGCUCUGGACGCAACCUUAAAAUCUUAAAAUGAUAUUUGAACGCGAUGGUCUCAAGAACUUUUUAAUAAUGAAUAACUCUGACGGUCAGCCCAGGCCACCAAUGCCAAGCGUCUGUUGGAGUCACUUAUUCCAACCUGUCGAAGUUCUUCUUCUUCAAAGAACUACCAUGACAAUCAUGUAUUUGUUUUGUUUGGCAUAAUAAGUUUAAUGUUUAAUAUCACUAGAAUCACUAUUCAUUGAUAAAUUGAUAAAUCUAUUUUCCUUUAAACGUGUUUGAUUGAAUGAUUAAAUGUGCCUUGUUACUUAAUUAUUAAUGUUCUUAUUUCCCUGUAACAUUUUCAAGUCUUAUUUAUAGAAGAACGCAUUUCACGUGCAAUUUCAAACUGGGUUAGCAAAUCUUACUGCACUGAGUAGGUUCCAUCUCACACAUGAUAUAUGAGAUGUAUGUAUGUUUAUAUGUUUAUGAGUUGAUUAUAGGCUUUUCCUCUUUUUUUAUCUAUGUAUAAUACUUUUUGAACAUUUAGCUCAUCUUUAUGCUCACAUAUAAAAAUCUCAAAUUCAAUAUGGCGUUUCUGGAAAAGGGGGGUAACCUUGAUUGUAAAGCGGGAACUUUUCGUUUUCACUGGUGACCCUCAUUUUAAGCUUAUUAUUAUAAAGCCUAUUAUAUAUGAAAUAUACAUACCGGUAGUCUAAUUAGUGGAGCUAUCCUACUCACCCCGGCAUCGGCGUGAGCGUGCAAAUGUUAAGUUUGCGUACCACCCCAAAUAUUUCCUAUGUGCCUUGACAUAUAGCUAAAAUAUUUUGCAUACUUCUUUAUCAACAUGACCCUAACCUAUAAACAAGAGCAGACAACUGUAUCAAGCAUUUUGUAAGAAUUAUGGCCCUUUGUUCACUUAGAAUAUGCAUAUUAUUAAUGUUUAAGUUUGCGUACCACCCCAAAUAUUUCCUAUGUCCCUUGACAUAUUGCUUUAAUAUUUUGCAUACCUCUUUACCAACAUGACCCAACCUUUAAACAAGAGCAGACAACUAUAUCAAGCAUUUUGUAUGAAUUAUGACCCUUUUUUCUCUUAGAAUAUGCAUAUUAUUAAUGUCAAAGUUUGCGUACCACCCAAAUAUUUCCUAUUUCCCUUUACAUAUUGCUUUAAUAUUUUGCAUACUUCUUUACCAACAUGAUCCCAACCUUUAAACAAGAGCAGACAACUGUAUCAAGCAUUUUGUAAGAAUUAUGGCCCUUUUUUCACUUAGAUUAUGCAUAUUAUUGAUAAAUCUAUGUUAAAGUUUGCGUACCACCUCAAAUAUUUUCAAUGUCCCUUGACCUAUUGCUUUAAUAUUUUGCAAACUUCUUUACCAACAUGACCCCAAUCUAUAAACAAGAGCAGACAACUGUAUCAAGCAUUUUGUAAGAAUUAUGGCCCUUUUUCCAUUUAGAAUAUGCAUAUUAUUGAUAAAUCUAUGUCAAAGUUUGCGUACCACCUCAAAUAUUUUCAAUAUCCCUUGACAUAUUGCUUUCUUAUUUUGCAAACUUUUUUACCAACAUGACCCCAACCUAUAAACAAGAGCAGACAACUGUAGCAAGCAUUUUGUAAGAAUUAUGGCCCUUUUUUGUCAUAGUUACUGAAUAUUUUCUUAAAUUUUGUGUUUAGAUCGACUUGAUUUCUAAAGUAUCAAAGCUAUUGCUUUCAAACUUCAAAUAUUUUCUUACUACCAUGAGGGUACUGUACUUGGCAAGUUAAAUAGUACCUUGACCUUUGAAUGACCUUGACUCUCAAGGUCACAAUAAUAAAUUUUAGUUAAAUUGCCAUAACUUCUUUAUGUAUGAUAAGAUUGUAUUCAUAAUUUGACCAUACAACACUUACAUGAAUACCACAAUGGACUCCACCCAAACAAAACAAUACCCCCCGCCCCCCCCCCCCCCCCCCAAAAAAAAAAAAUAUAUUGUUUUUCCUUUUAUAUUUUUGAAAGAUUGUCUAAUAAAUGACCACAUCCCACAUUAUACCCCCGCUCACCCCCCCUACUCAAAAAAAUAAUAUGUUUUUCAAUGAAACGUGGUAAAAAAAAUAUUUAUGGUACUUUAUUUUUGAAGGACCAUCCAAACAUCCCACCCAAGCUAUUGCUAUCAAUCUUGAAAAAAAAUCUUAUUAGUUUGUUUUAUGUCUUUACAAAUGUUCAAUAGAUUGUUGAAAAUAUACCUGAACUAUUACCUUGACCUUAUUGAAUAAUUUGAACAAUUUUCCGAUGAUGGCUUAUGUUAUACUGUCAAGCACUCGAAUAGUCGAGCGCGCUUUCCUCUGACAGCUCUUGUUUUCUUUAUUUUUCAUUCAAGCAUAUAUUGUAGAUGAUUUCUAUGUUAGAAGAUUGUAAUUUCCUUUUGCCAUGUUUUGUUAUGCCCCCUUUCGAAGAAAAGGGAGCAUAUAGUGAUCGGACUGUCCGUCUUUCCGUCAUACUUUGCGUUUAGGUUUCGAAAAAUGCUCAUAAUGUCCCUUGCGAUAAAUCCUUCAUAUUUGGUAUACAUGUGUAUAUGGACAAGGCCUUUCCAUAGGCACAAACAUUUCGACCCCUGUGACCUUGACCUUGAACUUAGGGUCUGCGUUUAGGUUUCAAAAUCUGCGUUUAGGUUUCGAAAAAUGCUCAUAACUUCUAUGUCCCUUGAGAUAUAACCUUCAUAUUUGGUAUGCAUGUUUACAUCGACAAGGCCUUUCCAUACGCACAUACAUUUUGAUCCCUGUGACCUUGACCUUGAACUUAGGGUCCGCGUUAAGGUUUCGAAAUCUGCGUUUAGGUUUCGAAAAAUGCUAUAACUUCUAUCAAAGCGUAUAAAGGGGGCAUAUGUCAUCCUAUGGUGACAGCUCUUGUUUGACAAUUUAUUUUAAAAACAGACUCGUGACUAGAGAUUGCAUUUUUUUCUCGUUUCCGAAGGAUGAUAACAUCACUUGUUUGUUACUUUGUAUGCCCCCCCCCCCCUUUGAAGAAGAAGGGGUAUAUUGUUUUGCACAUGUCGGUUGGUCCGUCGGUAGGUCCGUCCACAAGAUGGUUUCCGGAUGAUAACUCAAGAACACUUAGGCCUAGGAUCAUGAAACUUCAUAGGUACAUUGAUCAUGACUGGCAGAUGACCCAUAUUGAUUUUCAGGUCACUAUAUCAAAGGUCAAGGUCACAGUAACUCGAAAUAGUAAAAUGGUUUCCGGAUGAUAACUCAAAAAUGCUUAGGCCUAGAAUCAUGAAACUUCAUAGGAACAUUGAUCAUGACUGGCAGAUGACCCCUAUUAAUUUUCAGGCCACUAGGUCAAAGGUCAAGGUCACAGUGACUAGAAACAGUAAAAUGAUUUCAGGAUGAUAACUCAAUAAUGCUUUCACUUAGGAUCAUAAAACUUCAUAGGUACAUUGAUCAUGACUGGCAGAUGACCCCUAUUUAUUUUCAGGUCACUAGGUCAAAGGUCAAGGUCACAGUGACAAAAAACGUAUUCACACGAUGGCUGCCACUAUAACUGACAGUCCAUAUGGGGGCAUGCAUGUUUUACAAACAGCCCCUUGUUUCUUUAUUCCUUUUGUCAUGUUAUAAACUAUCAUAUUUGUAUAUAUUAUGCAUUUAUCUAUUAAUACAUUCUAAAAAAUGCC